rnacentral:tRNA from 1 species
GGGAAGGUGGCAGAGUGGUUUAAUGUACCUGACUCGAAAUCAGGCGUGCGGUAACACCGCACCGGGGGUUCGAAUCCCCCCCUUCCCUCCA